UACGAAGGGGGCUAGCGUUGCUCGGAAUCACUGGGCGUAAAGGGUGCGUAGGCGGGUUUUUAAGUCAGGGGUGAAAUCCUGGAGCUCAACUCCAGAACUGCCUUUGAUACUGAAGAUCUUGAGUCCGGGAGAGGUGAGUGGAACUGCGAGUGUAGAGGUGAAAUUCGUAGAUAUUCGGAAGAACACCAGUGGCGAAGGCGGCCCGCUGGACAGGUAUUGACGCUGAGGUGCGAAAGCGUGGGGAGCAAACAGG
rnacentral:rRNA from 1 species